GACGAACGCUGGCGGCGUGCUUAACACAUGCAAGUCGAACGAUGAAGCCUAGCUUGCUUGGUGGAUUAGUGGCGCACGGGUGAGUAAUACGUGAGUAACCUACCUUUAACUCUGGGAUAAGCCUGGGAAACUGGGUCUAAUACCGGAUACGACCAAUCUCCGCAUGGGGUGUUGGUGGAAAGCGUUAUGUAGUUGUUAUGGAUGGGCUCACGGCCUAUCAGCUUGUUGGUGGGGUAACGGCCCACCAAGGCGACGACGGGUAGCCGGCCUGAGAGGGUGACCGGCCACACUGGGACUGAGAGACGGCCCAGACUCCUACGGGAGGCAGCAGUGGGGAAUAUUGCACAAUGGGCGCAAGCCUGAUGCAGCGACGCCGCGUGAGGGAUGACGGCCUUCGGGUUGUAAACCUCUGUUAGCAGGGAAGAAGAGAGAUUGACGGUACCUGCAGAGAAAGCGCCGGCUAACUACGUG
rnacentral:rRNA from 1 species